CCGCCCCACGGCGCCGCCUCCGCCCCACAGCACCGCCUCCGCCCCAUAGCGCCGCCCCACGGCGCCGCCCCACACGGAGGAGUGGAUCGGACGCGGCGCCGCCCCACAGCGCCGCCUCCGCCCCACAGCGCCGCUGCCCCACUCCGCCCCAUAGCGCCGCCCCACAGCGCCGCCCCACACGGAGGAGAGGAUCGGCCGCGGCGUCGCCCCACUCCGCCCCACAGCGCCGCCCCACAACUCGGACGGGGGAAGGAGCGGCCGUGGAGCGAAGAGGGAAAUGUGGGGCUGGGACUGACCCGUAAGUGGCGCUCUGACCCACAAGUGGGGAUCUGACCCACAUAGACUGACCCACAAGUGGGGGUCUGACCCACAUAGACUGACCCAUAAGUGGGGCUCUGACCCAUAAGUGGGGCUGGGACUGACCCACAAGAGGGGCUGUGACCCACACAAGUGGGGCUGGGACAGCCCCAUAAGUGGGGCUGUGACCCACAAGUGGGGCUCUGACCCAUAAGGGGGGCUCUGCCCCAUAGCGACACUCCAUGACGCUGCCCCACAGCAUCGACCCCCACGGACUGACCCAUAAGUGGGGCUGUGACCCACAAGUGGGGCUGUGACCCACACAGACCCAUAAGUGGGGCUCUGACCCAUAAGUAGGGCAUUAAUCCACACAGACUGACCCAUAAUUGGAGCUGUGACCCAUAAGUGGGGCUGUGACCCAUAAGUAGGGCAUUAACCCACACAGACCGACCCAUAAGUGGGGCUGUGACCCACAAGUGUGUGAAGCUCUGACCCACAAGUGGGGCUCUGACCCAUAAGUGGGGCUGUGACCCCCAAUGAUGUGAAGCUCUGACCCAUAAGUGGGGCACUGCCCCAUAGCGACACUCCAUGGCGCUGCCCCACAGCGUCGCCCCCCUACAGACUGACCCACAAGUGGGGCUCCGACCCCCAAGUAUGUAAAGCUCUGACCCAUAAGUGGGGCUGUGACCCACAAGUGGGGCUCUGCCCCACAGCAACACUCCAUGGCUCUGCCCCACAGCGUCACCCCCUACAGACUGACCCAUAAGUGGGGCUGUGACCCAUAAGUGGGGCACUGUCCCCUAAGUAUGUGAAGCUCUGCCCCAUAAGUGGAGCUCUGCCCCAUAAGUAUGUGAAGCUCUGCCCCAUAUGUGGAGCUCUGCCCCACAGCGACACUCCAUGGCUCUGCCCCACGGCGCUGCCCCACUGUGCCGCCCCCCAUGGCCUGCCCUACAAGUGGGGUGCUGCCCCAUAGCGCUGCCCCACAAGUGGAUGUGGGCCCACAGGAGAACACGGAUGGACCCACGGACUGACCCACAAGUGGAGCUCUGACCCAUAAGUGGCGCCCUGACCCACAAGUGGAGCCCUGAACCUCUGACCCAUAAGUGGAGCUCUGCCCCAUAAAUUGGACUGUGACCCACAAGUGGGCCUCUGACCCAUAAGUGGGGCUGUGACCCACAAGUGGGGCCCUGACCCAUAAGUGGGGCUCUGACCCACACAGGCUCUGCCCCACAAGUUGGGCCCUGACCCACAAGUGGAGCUCUGCCCCAUAAAUUGGACUGUGACCCACAAGUGGGGCUCUGACCCAUUAAGUGGGGCUCUGACCCACAAGUGGGGCUGUGACCCACACAGGCUGACCCACAAGUGGGGCUGUGACCCAUAAGUGGGGCUCUGCCCCACAUGUGGAGCUGUGACCCACACAGGCUGACCCACAAGUGGGGCUUUGACCCACUGCAAUCCCUGCAGCAGCGCUAUGGGGUGGACUUAUGGGGCGGAUGUGUGGGGCAGAGGGCGAUGACGUCAUUGUAUUUAUGGGGGGAGGGGCGGAAUCGGGGCCAAACGUUCGCUUUUAAUAAACGGAAGUGCCGCUGUGACGUCAUCGGGUGGUGGUGCCGCCAUCGGGCGGCGGUGACGUCAUGUGGGGGAGGGGGUUCUAUGGGGCGAGAUGGGGGAGUAAACGGGGGCACUGCCCCAUAGCUGCGCCCCAUAGCUGUGCCCUAUAGCUCUGCUGUGACCCAUUGCUGUGCUGAGCCCCAUAGCGGUGCCCCAUAGCUGUGCU
rnacentral:lncRNA from 1 species